rnacentral:rRNA from 1 species
UACGUAGGGUGCGAGCGUUGUCCGGAAUUAUUGGGCGUAAAGGGCUCGUAGGCGGUUUGUCGCGUCGGGAGUGAAAAUCCAGGGCUUAACUCUGGACUGGCUUCCGAUACGGGCAGACUAGAGGUAUGCAGGGGAGAACGGAAUUCCUGGUGUAGCGGUGAAAUGCGCAGAUAUCAGGAGGAACACCGGUGGCGAAGGCGGUUCUCUGGGCAUUACCUGACGCUCAUGCACGAAAGCGUGGGGACCAAACAGG